GUGGGAUACGGGGACAUGGCCCCCAAGACGUAUGUGGGGAUGUUUGUGGGCGCCCUCUGCGCCCUUGCCGGGGUGCUGACCAUCGCGUUGCCAGUGCCGGUCAUUGUGUCAAAC
rfam:Zootermopsis nevadensis contig6822, whole genome shotgun sequence.